GGGUCCGUAGUCUAACGGUUAGGACGCCGCCCUUACAAGGCGGAGGAGGCGGUUCAACUCCGCCCGGACCCA
rnacentral:tRNA from 2 species